rnacentral:rRNA from 1 species
GUGGGGAAUAUUGCACAAUGGGCGCAAGCCUGAUGCAGCCAUGCCGCGUGUGUGAAGAAGGCCUUCGGGUUGUAAAGCACUUUCAGCGGGGAGGAAGGCGAUAAGGUUAAUAACCUUGGCGAUUGACGUUACCCGCAGAAGAAGCACCGGCUAACUCCGUGCCAGCAGCCGCGGUAAUACGGAGGGUGCAAGCGUUAAUCGGAAUUACUGGGCGUAAAGCGCACGCAUGCGGUCUGUCAAGUCGGAUGUGAAAUCCCCGGGCUCAACCUGGGAACUGCAUUCGAAACUGGCAGGCUAGAGUCUUGUAGAGGGGGGUAGAAUUCCAGGUGUAGCGGUGAAAUGCGUAGAGAUCUGGAGGAAUACCGGUGGCGAAGGCGGCCCCCUGGACAAAGACUGACGCUCAGGUGCGAAAGCGUGGGGAGCAAACAGGAUUAGAUACCCCAGUAGUCC